ensembl:lncRNA GOLGA2P5 GOLGA2 pseudogene 5
CUUUUUCCACUCAGCCCCUCAAUAUUGUUAGUUACUUGGCUUACUCUGUUUAUUUACUGCAGAACCUUGAGACAGCCCUAAUUAAGUCCACUCUGGAGCCCACCCUGUGUGCUCUUUGACUUCAGCAAUUGCUAGAUCAGUGUACACAUCCUAUUUUUAUUAUAUUCAGGGCCACAGCUGACUGCCUGGCCCACUGGCUUAUGGCAAUGAUGAAGCAGACCUUCAGGUUAUGACAUCAGUGCUUGACCAAGCCACACAAUCGCAUCAAUUUUUCCACCAAAACUGGAGAAACUUGUCUAAACAAUUUCAACUUACCCAGAGGCUGGCUAAACAAAUUAUCCUGCAAUGCCGAGAUUGCCAGCUCACAGGCACAUACCCUCCUUCAACCCUAGAGGAUGGGAACCUAAUAAGUUAUGGCAAACAGACGUUACACACAUCCCUGAAUUUGGAAAACUUAGAUACGUACAUGUAUCCAUUGAUUUAAUUAGUGCAAAUGCCCUUCCUGGAGAGUCUACUGGAUAUGUCACUAAACAUCUUCUUUUAACUUUUGCAUUUAUGGGGCAACCCACAAAAAUUAAAACUAAUAAUGAUCUAGCUUAUGCCAGCUCACAAUUUCAACAAUUUUGUCACAUGUGGAACAUCCAACAUUCCACAGGCAUCCCGUAUAACCCCCAAGGACAAGCCAUAGUAGAAUGUGCCCACUCCACCCUUAAAAAUAUGCUCAAAAAACAAAAAAGGGGAGUAUGGGUAAGGACCCUGCAGCAUUAUUGGCACAAGCCUUAUUUACCCUUAAUUUUUAAAAUUUAGAUGACAAAUUUCAGUCCAUUGUAGAAAAGCACUUUGCUAAAACCUCUCAAGACAUAAAACUGCAGUUUUAUGGAAAUAUGUGAACAGUAAUGUAUGAUGUGGUCCAAAUGAAUUGUUAACUUGGGGAAGAGGAUAUGCUUGUGUUCACACCCCCUCAGGUCCUCUUUGGAUUCCAGCACGACGCAUCAAACCAUACCAUGACGUGACUAGGACCCAACCUAGAAAUGAAGGAACUGACCCUACAGGACUCACAACCCUGGAUAAUGCAGUGUCCUCGGACGGCAACAAGCUCUGGACAUUACCUGGGGGAUGCUGAAGGCGGCAACUGAGGAGGCUGAAUGAAUCCUGCUCCAGACACAGACACCAUUCACUCCAGAUAAUUUGUUGCUUGCUAUGCUCUCUGUUGUACAUUGCAACUCGCAUAGGGUAUUGAUACUUCAUAUGCUCUUGCUUUGUCUGCAACCUGUACCUGGUGCACUCUAUUGGGCUCAUAUUUUAGAUCCACCUUUCUUUCACCCUGUCACCUGGGCAGACACCUCCUUCUCAGCCUUUAAUAACAUAACUGCUUGGCUAGGAGGGAUAGAUUUACCCCCAGUGGGGUCCCUCAUUAAUGGCACACAUUAAACUAAGGUGCCAGGUAACACUACAUAUCAUUCCACUAUCCUCCCACUGUGUGUAAGUUAUAAAGGUUCUAACCCUGUGUACCUGCCCAAACACAAUUAUGGCUACAUCAUGGCAAAGGAGAUGCCUUAACAUUCCUAGCUGCAGGUAGCCUCAAACCGGGCGAUGCAAUCAAUGCCACUUUCCCAAACAUUCCUUCCUGUGUUAAAGAACAAAGCCGGGAAAGUAAUGGAUUCCACUUUAGCUGGGAGGUCUGUCAUGGGGAAUAAGCCCAUAUGCUCCAGUUAGGCAAUUAUAACAUCUUAGACUGGAGCCCCCACAGCCACUUGCAGGGCAGCCUUACUAAUGUCCUCAUCCAUCAUGGCACCAAUCACAGUUUCAUAGCCACGUCCCAUUCCCCUAUGAUUUGGGCCUAUGGGGGGAUAGGAUAUUCCAGACCCCAAGUAAAGUCCAUGCCACCCCAAGACACUUUGUGGUGCCUGGGACAUCUUAGCACCUCCUUUGACACCUGGCAUUGGACAUAUCAUAAUUCCAGUCACAACUAUACUACAACCUUUAUUCAUAAUCACACUGAUCAGUGCCUGAUUUGCACUACCCAUCCAUAUGUUUUCCUUGUGGGAACUAAUAUUUCUGUUAUACCCCAAAACUCCAUGUUUGUGACCCAGGUGCAGGGACAGCCUUGGUUCACCUCAUGUAUUACUAAUUACAAUAUAUCUAAUUAUAAAUAUUACUAGAGUCGUGGUAUUAAGGAGACAAUCUGAGGCAUUCCCACCAGUCAAUUUGACAUGCGGUUGGCAAGGUUCCUCUUCCCUUCCCACUUUAGAUCGUGCCCUGUCCCAGGUCAGACCCGAAAGAUUCAUAGGCACACUUACAGCCUUCAUAGUCUCAGCCAUAGUCAUCCUAGCAACUGCUAGUGUGGCUGUAGCAUCUAUUACUGAAUCAGUACAAACAGCUGCUUUUGUAGAUAAUUUGGCCAGAAAUGUUUCUAAUGAACUUCUCUUACAGCAAGGUAUAGAUCAAAAGAUUCUUGCACAUCUGCAAGCCCUCGAGGCUGCCUUUGGAAUAUGUGGGGGAGCGACAAGAUGCACUGGCAUUCCAACAGCAAUUAAACUGUGACUGGGAGCAUAAACAUAUCUGUGUCACUUCUCUACCAUGGAAUCAGUCAAUGCAUAGUUGGGAUGAGGUGAAACAACACCUCUGGGGAACCUUUCAUGACAAUUUAACAGCAGACAUAAGGCAACUUAAAAAUACAAUUUUAGAAUCCCUUCAAACUGUAGAUCUACACACCCAACAAACAGCCAUAUGGAAGGGUGUGUGAGAUUAUCUCUCCUGGAUAGACCACCGCUCCUGGGGGCGGGGGGUGGUGGGUCACUCCUUGAUUAGAAAAGAAUGUUGCUAAUUAUACUCAUGUUUGUCUUAUGUUAUUUACUAAUUUUAGGAUGCAAAGCCGGAAUAAGAGCAAUGACCACCAUGCCUGACAGACCUGUUGCUGCGCACACCUGUACUCUCCAAUGAACAAGACUGAAUGCAAAAAAAACAGAAAAUGGGGAGAUUUAGGGGAUCAGUCAGUGUGGUUGGAAAAUUGUAAGAUGAAGUUACAGGAUAUAGACACAAACCUUCUUGGAAGGCCAGAAGGUUUGCAUAGCUUCAGUAAAGGAUUUGGCUGAAAUCCUUUUUACCUCUAAUCCCCUUUACCUUGAGUUGAUAGCAAUAGAGCAAAUAACAUGGGAAUGUGGGGGAGUUUAUCUGAAUAGCUUGUUUACUCAUGUGGUCCUAAGACCAACCUUUGAUUAUCCGCAGGUGCAUGAUUGCUCUCUACCUGGGGGCAGGGGGAGUUAAUUACCCACAGGUGUGUUGACUCAAAGCCUUUGUCAUUAAGUCUGUGCUGAAUAAAUGCCAUGAGGGCCAGCCAGUUAAGGCCUGUGGCCGCCACAACUCUUUCUGUGCAUGGCCCGGCCCCUUAGCUGCUCUGUCACUGAAUAUCGGUGUGAGUAUGUUAUUCAUCUGCUGUGCGGCUGGGGUCUGCAGGACAGACCCCUGCAGCUGGGGAAGGAGGCAUGGGACUCUGGGAAAGGGAGGCAGUCAUUUAGGCCUGGAGCCAAGGGGCCAGGGGCCUGGGUAGGCAACAGAGCCACACAGUGACCUUGCUACCCUAUUUAUGGGCCAGCCACCACCUGCCCUCAUGCCCAGGGUCUUUCUGCAGGUGGAGCUGAAGAGCCAGGAGGCUCAGAGUCUGCAGCAGCAGCAGGACCAGUACCUGGGUCAUCUGCAGCAGUAUGUGGCCACCUAUCAGCAGCAGGUGGUCACCUAUCAGCAGCUGACCUCUGAGGAGGAGGAGCUGCACAACCAGUUACUGCUGCAGACCCAGCUCGUGGACCGGCUGCAGCAGCAGAAAGCUCAAAGCAAAGCUGUGGCCAAGAUGGGCUGCCAAGAGUUGCGGGAGACCCAGGAGCACCUGGAAGCUAUCAGCCAGCAGAACCAGCAGCCUCAGGCCCAGUUGAGCCUCAUGGCUCUCCCUGGGGAAGGUACCGGAGACUGCUCACAGGAAGAGGAGAGAGCCCCAGGAGGAAACGGGAACUGUUAGCAGCAUAGGAUUGAGGAGCUGAAACAGACUUUUAGAACAGCUGGUCAUUAUGCCAACCAGGAGAUGGACAGUGAGGAGGAGGAGGAGGUGCCUCAGCCCAUGCCAAGCAUCCCGGAGGAUCUAGAGAGCCAGAAGGCCAUGGUGGCAUUUUUCAACUCAGCUGUAGCUAGUGCCGAGGAGGAGCAGGCACGGCUAUGUGGGCAGCUGAAGGAGUGCACUGCCAGCGCCUGGCUCAUCUGUUGGCCUCGGCCCAGAAGGAACCUGAGGCAGCAGCCCCAGCCCCAAGAACUGGGGGUGAUCCCAUGUGUGGGGAGACCCACCAGGCCCUGCAGGGGGCCAUGGAGAAGCUGUGGAGCCGCUUUAUGGAGCUCAUGCAGGAGAGAAGGUGGACUUGAAGGAGAGGGUUGAGGAACUGGAACAUUGCUGCAUCUAGCUGUCUGGAGAGAGACAGACACCAUCGGGGAGUGGGAAGCCAGGGCACGGCAAAGAGAGCUGCACAUUGGUCAGAGGGGCCCCAGCGUCUGAGUCCUGUCCUCCUGCAGGAGAGUACAUCGCACUGUACCAGAGCCAGAGGGCAGUGCGGAAGGAGGAGGAGUGCAUCAGCAGGCUGGCCCAGGACAAGGGAGAGGUGAAGGUGAAGCUGCUGGAGCUGGCGUGGCUUGUGGACGACUGCAACAAGUGGCAUAGCAGAUUCCUGGCAGCUGCCCAGAACCCUGCUGAUGAGCCCACUCCAGGGGCCCCCGCCCCCCAGUAGCUUGGGGCUACUGACAAGCCAGGGUAGUGAGUAGAGUCCUCAGGCACAGUGGGCACGCAGGAGCAGGGGAGGGCUCCCACAGCACCCUGCCUCCCUCUCUCCAAAGAUCUUUGUGAGGUGAGCCUUGCCAGCAGUGGGGAGUCUGCACAAGGAGAGGCGGGGAAGCAUUCUCCCUGUGACAACCCCACUGAGCAGCAGAUCAUGCAACUGCUUCAUGAGAUGCAGAACCUCCAGGAGCACCCAGGCUUGGGCAGCAGCCCUUGCAUUCCUUUUUUGUACCAGACUGAUGAGAACAAUGAGGUGAAGAUCACCAUCAUCUAAAAGCCGGCCACUGUCAGCAAAACCUGGGGAAGUGGGGCUGGAGGCUCUGCCCCUACCAUGUCCCUACCACCCCUUCCCAGUCAACCCUUUACCCUCACAGUAGCAAGCAUAAGACCCCUGUCUAAUGUGGGGAGACAGGUGGAGAUGAGGUGAAGAUCACCAUAAUCUAAAAGGCCACU